UUGUUUUGUUUUCAUGGUCUAAAAGUACAUGCAAAGUACAAGUACAAACAAGCAAAUAAAAGACAAACAAGUGGCGGAGUAUGGACAACGUACAGUUUCAUCUUUCAUGCCUUGGCAAUAUGGCACUGGCCUCAAUAACUUCGGAGUCUCCAAGGGAAUUUUUUAAAUAGUGUUAAUCUUUUACAUUUUAUUACCUAUGUUUUGUAGAUUUCUUUUUCUUUUGUUAUAUAGUGCAAUAGUACUUUUUUUUUUUUUAUCGACCACCAUUAAUAAAAAUGAUUAAAUUUGUGAUUUUUUUUUACUUUUUAAUCACUCAAUUAAUCUUAUAUCUCUUAGUAAAGUCUGGCUAAUUAUUUAUAUAAAAAUGAGCCGAGUUUUAAGUAUUUUGAAUUGAAAGGGUGAGAGAGGAGAAUUUCACUCACCUUCAGUUAAGAAUUAUAAUUUUCAGGAGUAUAUCUGAGAAACAAAAAUUCUCUGUUUUUGUUCUUACUAAUAGGAGAGAUGUCGAUAAGCCCGAUGUUGAAAGCAACAAGGCCCAAAAUUUUUAAACAGUUUGCACUUUGCACACUGAGACAACUUUGAAGGGUUGGUCCAAGUGAGAAUGAGCACACACACCAGCUGAUCUCAUAUCAGUACGUAGUUAAUUGCAUCGGAAUCAAUUUCUCUCUUUCUGUCUUCUCUUCUCUUCUCUUCUCUUCACUUUGGUGAAAACAAAAAAAUUCACUUCAUCAUCAUCACCAACAUGAAUCCUCUCCUGUCUUGCAAUUUCCCUCACCAAUAAGAAAGUAUAUAUAAUAACCAUGAUUCUAAUGCCUCUAAUGCUGCGUUCACUGGUGAAGCUGGCAACAGCACUAGUGUGUGAACCUACAUCCACUCUCACAACAAUUCUAUAUUACGGAAAUUUGCUUCCCCGCAAUCUUAACUUGGAUCGAUUAGUGCGACGUGAAUUUCUUCACCAAGAAAACCAUUUCUUCCAUUUUCUCACCACUAUGUUGAGGUGUGUUUGGUAGAUAUAUAUAGCAAUGUAGCAGCAUGUCGGGUUCAAGUGUUUAGUAAAGUACUUAAAUAGUUAAAUUGGUGAGGAACCAAUUUAAUGCGUGUACUUUUUGAGGCAGUCCAUGUGGUAGCACAGUGCCUUAAAUGUAGAUGUUUGAGGCACAUUCGUUGAUGUUGAAUUCCCCUUAUCGCAAUUA